AACGAACGCUGGCGGCAUGCCUAACACAUGCAAGUCGAACGAGACCUUCGGGUCUAGUGGCGCACGGGUGCGUAACGCGUGGGAACCUGCCCUUAGGUUCGGAAUAACUCCCCGAAAGGGGUGCUAAUACCGGAUAAUGUCUUCGGACCAAAGAUUUAUCGCCUUUGGAUGGGCCCGCGUUGGAUUAGCUAGUUGGUAGGGUAAAAGCCUACCAAGGCGACGAUCCAUAGCUGGUCUGAGAGGAUGAUCAGCCACACUGGGACUGAGACACGGCCCAGACUCCUACGGGAGGCAGCAGUGGGGAAUAUUGGACAAUGGGCGAGAGCCUGGUCCAGCAAUGCCGCGUGAGUGAUGAAGGCCUUAGGGUUGUAAAGCUCUUUUACCCGGGAUGAUAAUGACAGUACCGGGAGAAUAAGCUCCGGCUAACUCCGUG
rnacentral:rRNA from 1 species